GACGAACGCUGGCGGCGCGCCUAACACAUGCAAGUCGAGCGAAGCAGCGGACGGGUGAGUACCACGUGAGUAACCUGCCUUAGACAUUGGGAUAGCCUCGGGUAACCGGUAUUAAUACCAAAUGGGCUAAGAUGUACUCGGAUGCCAUUAGCAAGUUGGUGAGGUAAAGGCCCACCAACGCGACAACGGGUAGCCGGCGUGUGAGGCUGAGCGGCAACAUUGGAACUGAGAAACGGUGGAGACUAUGCGCAAGGGGGGAGUGGGUAAUAGAGCACAAGGGAGGGAACUCUGAUGCAGUUAGGCCGGGUAAACGAAGAAGGCGUGCGGGUCGGAAAGAUCUUUUAUAUGGGAAGCGGUACCAUAAGAAAAAGCCCCGGCUAACUACGUGCCAGCAGCCGCGGUAAUUC
rnacentral:rRNA from 1 species